AGACUCUCCACAGAAGUCUCUGUGGAUACCGGCAGGUGGAAGAAAAUCAAGGCAGCAGAAAGGAUCUGAGUCCUCUCCAGAACACCCACUUUCCUUACAUCUAAGAGGAUUUGUGAUCUGCUUGCAACUAAAAAAAAUAAAUAAAAAAAGAGCAUUUUAAGGGAAAAAUGAUACAUGUUCCUCAAAUUUAGUGAGUAAAUCAGAAGAAAACAGGAUAAUUAUCAAAACAACAAAGGAGAGGCUAUCACUUACUGGACAAAAUGUAGAACUCUGCUCCUCCUCCACCAUGCCUGCCUGGAUGCUGCCAUGCUCCUGCCUUGACGAUAAUGGACUGAACCUUAGCCGCACAGUGGAAUAUGACAUUUGUAGAAUCUAUAAUGAUCUCCUUAUCUUCUUCACUGAGAGCCAGUUUAGGUUGGAGUCUUCUAACUUACAUGUGUUCUGAAGGUGUGGCCCAUCUUCCCUAGACAAACGUGGCAACCACUCCUCAAAAAGGCUUCUCUUUACAGCAAAUGGAGAGCAUCACAGAAAACAACUGUACAUAAGACAGAAAUCAAUCGUGCGGAGCCCAGCCCCAACAUAUAUAUCUACAUCUUUAUCACAGCUCCUCCAUCAGGGAAUAUCACUUAAGGGGAAUGGAAAGAUUUAAAAAGCCAGAAGAUCAGGAAGUCAGCCAUAAAACAGUCUCUCCUGGAAAUGGCUACAUAAACAAGAUUGAAACACAAUGGGCAAGUUAACGUGGGACAGGGAAAUCUAGCAACAUCUCACCCCUAGACAAAGAACUACAGGGAACUCCUAAACGCUGGAAGAAGGAGAAUUAUCCUCUCCCUUACUGGUUGUCCAAUGCAGACUGGUCAGCCUUGAAGCCAUAUACAUAAAAGCAGUAAAAGUGG